UACAGAGACUGCAAGCGUUAUUCGGAUUCACUGGGCGUAAAGGGUGCGCAGGCGGCCAAGUGUGUGAGGCGUGAAAGCCUGGAGCUUAACUCCAGAAUUGCACCUCAAACUACAUGGCUAGAGCAUUGGAGAGGGUAGCAGAAUUCACGGUGUAGCAGUGAAAUGCGUAGAUAUCGUGAGGAAUACCAGAGGCGAAGGCGGCUACCUGGACAAUUGCUGACGCUCAGGCACGAAAGCGUGGGGAGCAAACGGG
rnacentral:rRNA from 1 species